GGGGGCGAUUCGGAUUCGACGCCGGUAUCAACACCUGGGGUGCAUGUCGAGAGGGUAGUGACUCUCGUAAAUCAAUCGCUGCAACUUUACAGUUGCCAACGACGAUAGAUACGCUCUAGCAGCUUAAUAUAGCCGCUAGCGAUUGCCUCAGGGAUGCCUGUAAACCAGUGUUUUGCAAUCGUCAUAUAGAACAGGAUCGCGCGAAGGCCGUCUGGGGCAAUAGCGUUAAAAUUUUUCCAGACUCGCCCUACUCGCCCUGCCCGUCGGGUAGACGUGGGCUAACUCAAUAGACGACGCUAAGCAUGUAGAGCAGCAGGCCGCGAACUGACGGACGGGGGUUCAAGUCCCCCCGCCUCCACCA
rnacentral:tmRNA from 1 species